rnacentral:lncRNA from 1 species
UACUGUCUUCAACCACAGAGAGCCACUGCUGUCAUUCUCUGUCUUGGCAUCCACAUAGAAAGAGAUCUGUCUUGCACAGCAUCCAGUGACUUUCAGGAUGAAACCCACAGCUUUGAGAAGAACUGAGUAGAAAGAAAGAAAACAGCCUAAUGACUCAUGGAUGCAUUGUAUCAUCACUGGGCAGGCUACCUUUGGACUACUAUUGUGUGAGAAAAUAAACCUUUGACUCAUUUGA